ensembl:lncRNA
GGCAGUUUCAUUUCAGGAAUGAGUGUGCACAAUCAAAGAGCGACUGUGGAGAGACCUCUGGGUGGCCGUUACAUGCAUUUACUACGAUGUUCUUCACAACCCUGAGGAAGAAGGCCUUCUUGACAUUUCAAAUGCUGCACACCUCUUUUGCUGCCAUUACAUCUUUCUUCCUCGACUAGAGGAUAAUUUUAAUACAUUUUGCAGUGGAUGGGACAACCAUCCACUGCGAACAGAAAACAACAUGAGUCCCCCAACCAGCUGUGGGAGUUGGGUCACAGAUAUCACCCUGUUCCUGUUCCAGAUAACACACAGCUUAUCGCACAUUUGAUUUCCAUGUGUGACAACUGCAAGUGUCCAGAGUGAGGACAGACUGAGGGACCCACUGCUGCACAUCAUCUGUGAGGCUUUGCACCCCUGAUGAUCCACCAGGACAAACUCAGCAGUGUGUGAGGAAGAGGAGGAGGAAGAGCCAGCAGCAGCUGACAGAUGGAGAGAAUAGACAGACUGUUCCCUGUUUGUGAAGGACUGCUAGAAAAG